AGCCCAGUGCUUGUGGAGGUUACAGGGGGUGGGGCUUCUCAGCCCAGUGCUUGUGGAGGUUACAGGGGGUGGGGCUUCUCAGCCCAGUGCUUGUGGAGGUUACAGGGGGUGGGGCUUCUCAGCCCAGUGCUUGUGGAGGUUACAGGGGGUGGGGCUUCUCAGCCCAGUGCUUGUGGAGGUUACAGGGGGUGGGGCUUCUCAGCCCAGUGCUUGUGGAGGUUACAGGGGUGGGGCUUCCCCUCUGGUGACUCGCUUCUGGAGUCUCAGCAUGGAGCCCACUCUUCUACGACAAGCACCCCAAGUCUCCUUACGGUAUCACCUCCUCAGCUCAAAAAC